GUGGGCAUGGGGGAACCUGAUCAGCCAUCCCGCGUGUGCGAUGAAGGCCUUCGGGUUGUAAAGCACUUUUGGCAGGAAAGAAACGUCGCGGGUUAAUACCCCGCGGAACUGACGGUACCUGCAGAAUAAGCACCGGCUAACUACGUGCCAGCAGCCGCGGUAAUACGUAGGGUGCAAGCGUUAAUCGGAAUUACUGGGCGUAAAGCGUGCGCAGGCGGUUCGGAAAGAAAGAUGUGAAAUCCCAGAGCUUAACUUUGGAACUGCAUUUUUAACUACCGAGCUAGAGUGUGUCAGAGGGAGGUGGAAUUCCGCGUGUAGCAAUGAAAUGCUUAGAUAUGCGGAGGAACACCGAUGGCGAAGGCAGCCUCCUGGGAUAACACUGACGCUCAUGCACUAAAGCGUGGGGAGCAAACAGGAUUAGAUACAAAAAAAAGUUCCC
rnacentral:rRNA from 1 species